AUUGAACGCUGGCGGCAGGCCUAACACAUGCAAGUCGAACGAGUGGCGGACGGGUGAGUAAUGUCUGGGAAACUGCCUGAUGGAGGGGGAUAACUACUGGAAACGGGAUCUAAUACCACAAACCAUCAGGUGUGCCCAGAGGGGAUUAGCUUGUUGGUGGUGUAACGGCUCACCAAGGCGACGCUCCCUAGCUGGUCUGAGAGGAUGAACAGCCACACUGGAACUGAGACACGGCCCAGACUCCUACGGGAGGCAGCAGUGGGGAAUAUUGCACAAUGGGCGAAAGCCUGAUGCAGCCAUGCCGCGUGUAUGAAGAAGGCCUUCGGGUUGUAAAGUACUUUCAGCCGGGAGGCGUUACCCGCAGAAGAAGCACCGGCUAACUCCGUGCCAGCCGCCGCGGUAAUAC
rnacentral:rRNA from 1 species